CGAUGUUUUUCUUCCCGUGCGUACCCACAGUUCGGGUUCAGGGUGGUUUUCCACGACGGGACUGCUUCAGUUCAUGGUUGACAUCCGCUGCUGCUGGUGGUUGCGGUGAUUUUUAGUGCGAGCGUGAUUUCCACCAACCGCAGUCCUACUAGUGGCAGUUCGUAGUGUUCAAACGACUUGCAACAUUGUCCCUCGAGUUCAAUGAAGUGUUAGAUUUGUUCGAUUUUAGUAUGUCUACUUCCACGUUCAAGGAGAAAUUGCGUCUACGUCACAUUUUAUCCUAGCAAAUUUUACAGCUGUUCUCGUGAGUGCUUUAAUGGAUACAUUCAUCAAAAGCUUGUCGUCUACGGCUCAUCGACGGCUACCUGAUGGCCUUGUCAACAACGUGCACGAUCAUCUGUAGAAGGAAAACGAUGUCUGGUUUUACAAUAUUAGCUUUCAACGCAGCUAAAUCAAAGAAGAACGCACUUCAAGGACGCCAAGGACGCGUCUAAAGAUGCGCAGCACCAGUCGAUGACGUCAUCGUAGCCAGCCCAGACAUGUGCCGGUUUAACACGCGCAGCACCAGUCGAUGAUAUUCUUAGGCGCUGGGUGGAAAGAAAAGUGGAAGGAAGGGUAACGGAAAAUUACCGCUUCAUUUGGAAGGGACAAAGCAUUCUGCCGAGUACUGGGUGUGACUGGGUCUGGGUCAUACAAUUCAUUUCACGACCCGACCCGUUGUAAGGUGCAAUCCUUUUGGAAGCAAUUCCAAUCCGUGGUUGCAGCAGGUGCACUAGAUCAAAGUCGGAAUCAAAUCCGACCCGUGGGUGUAAUGAGUUUGAGUCGACCCGAAUAACCAGUAGGUGCAACAAAGCAUAAGCAAGUCCGAUCCUUAGGGGCAUCAAACCAGUGGGUUUGGGUCGAACCGCCCAUCAAUAGUACAGAGUGUGAGUAUGCCAAAACGCACGUGGAAACAGUGAGAAAAAUGUUCAAUAAAAAGCAUGCGGCAAUGUGCAUAACGCAAAUAGAAAAGCAU